UACGUAGGGUGCAAGCGUUAAUCGGAAUUACUGGGCGUAAAGCGUGCGCAGGCGGUUAUGCAAGACAGAGGUGAAAUCCCCGGGCUCAACCUGGGAACUGCCUUUGUGACUGCAUGGCUAGAGUACGGUAGAGGGGGAUGGAAUUCCGCGUGUAGCAGUGAAAUGCGUAGAUAUGCGGAGGAACACCGAUGGCGAAGGCAAUCCCCUGGACCUGUACUGACGCUCAUGCACGAAAGCGUGGGGAGCAAACAGGA
rnacentral:rRNA from 1 species